GACAGAGGCCUCGAGCGUUAGGCGGAAUCACUGGGCUUAAAGCGUGUGUAGGCGGGCCCGUAAGUACCUUGUGAAAUCCCCCGGCUCACCCGGGGAACGGCUGGGUAUACUGCGGGUCUUGGGCCGACUAGGGGCAGCCGGAACAAGCGGUGGAGCGGUGAAAUGCGUAGAUAUCGCUUGGAACGCCGAAGGUGAAAACAGGCUGCUGGGGUCGCGCCGACGCUGAGACACGAAAGCCAGGGGAGCAAACGGG
rnacentral:rRNA from 1 species